rnacentral:lncRNA from 1 species
UUGUAUUUUCUCUCUCGCUUUAAUUUGUUUUAUUUACGCAUGUAUGACUUUUUUUUCUCUUUCAAUUUAUACAACUGGUUUACAAACUUAAAACAUUAAUCUUUCUUUCUUUUCAUAAUUAUUAUUUUUAAUUUCGGAGAGCUAGCGUUUUAAUUUUAUAGAAAGACAAAGUUUGAAAAGAAGAAGAAAGGUACCAGUUUUACAAGUAAAUUUUAAUUUUUAAGACAGAAAAUAUCUGAAAAUUGAAAAUUUUACAAAUGAAAAAAGUGUUUAUUUAAAAAAAAAAUAUGGACAAAAUGGUAAUGAUGAUGAGGAGAAAGUUAAGGCUGAUGCACGUGUGGUGUUCAUUGUAAGCCUAAUAAUGAAUCAAUAAUGGCAAAUAUUGUGAUUGGAAAACAAACGACUAUAUAAAAAAUAUAAGAAAAAAUAUAUUUUUUAAUAUAUGUAGAUGUUCUUAUAACAUAAUAAUGAGAUGUUCUCAUAACAUAAUAAUAAUUAUUUUAUAUGUGUGUGUGCGCGAGUGGAAGAGAACAAAAAAGGGAUAUUUUUAGUAUUAAGUAGGGUAAAAUUGAAAAAAAAAAUUAGGGGCUUUAAUAGAAGUUUGCAGGGCUGCCAAUAGUCAAACUCCUCAAUAUUUAGAAAACAUCGGGAUUAUGGGUCCAAGCCCAAUCUUUAGAAGACCCAAUAACUUCUCUAAUUCGCUAGAUGAAACGACGUAGCAAUUUCCUCCACUUACUUUACGUAUCACCGGCUUAGGCUUCCCUUCGCUGCUCGCAUCAAUUGAAUGGCUGUGUGGAGACCGGAGAAUAGAUUAGAACUGCAAAAAGCAACUUCACAAAUUCACUCUAGUAUCUCAGUCUUCAAGGUAUGAGUUUCAUUUAUCUUGAAUUAAUGAAAAUUCAAUGAACUUAAUUCAUAUAUAAAUGGCUACUCUUAACUAUUUCACUUGUAUGUAACAUCAGAACUACCGUUCGUACUUGCUCUUCAGUAAUGUUUCCCUAUCUGGGUCUAUCUCUUUAUUAGUAAAUUUGAUAGAAAAAUGCAACCUUUAAGUGUGUGGCCAUUAAAAGGUGGCUUUGCUGCAGUGCCUCAGUUGCAUUUUGAUGUUGUUUCUUCUAGUUUUUUAAGCACAAGAAAUAGGAGGAGAAAAAAAUGGAGUCUCGUUGAAUCUGUUUGUCACAGUAGAAACACUGGCUUCUUGUUAGUUUCGAGCAAUUCAACGUUUAGUUGUUGUGGGGUGUGUUGUAGGAGCAUUAAACUUGAUUCAAAAUGUGAGUUUCUAUCUGGGUUCUCUAGUCACAAAUUGGUUCUCUUUUGUGAGCCAAAGAAAAGUUAUUUCGGUGCGUCUGUGAUGUUUGCUUGGUCAAUGGAGCAACAAGAAAUUGGAAAUGGCCUCCUUGUAGAAGAACCAAACUCUGCAGAUGGAUUGUUGGUGGAAACCGAGAGUGAUAUUGUUGAUUAUCGUAGUGUUCAUAGAGUAGAAGAUACUGGUGAUAAUGGUAAUCAGGUAGAAAGCGAAGAAGUAGAAAUUAUUGGUGAGAGAGGAGUUGGGAAGCAGAAGAGUGGUAGAGUUGAUGUUAAGGCACUGGCACAGAGUUUAUGGCACACGAAAACGGCUGAUGAUGUGGAAGAAGUUCUUAAGGACAUGGGUGAAUUGCCACCUCAAGUACACUCAAGUAUGAUUAGAGGUUUUGGUAAAGAAAAGAGAACGGACUGUGCGAUGGCUCUUGUUGAGUGGCUAAAGAGAAAGAAGAGAGAAACUGGUGGUUUCAUUGGUCCUAACCUUUUUGUAUAUAAUAGCUUGUUGGGUGCAGUGAAACAGUCUCAAAAAUUUGAGGAAAUGGAUAGAAUUAUGAAUGAUAUGGCUGAGGAGGGGGUUAAUCCUAAUGUUGUAACCUAUAACACUUUGAUGGCUAUUUAUAUAGAGCAAGGAGAAGGUACCAAGGCCCUCAACGUCCUUGAGGAGAUAAAGAAGAAGGGCCUUACACCGUCCGCUGUAUCCUAUUCUCAGGCCUUGUUGGCUUAUCGAAGAAUGGAAGAUGGAAAUGGAGCUUUGAAGUUCUUCGUUGAAUUAAGAGAGAAGUAUCUGAAAGGUGAAAUUGGAAAAGGUGAUGAUGAAAAUUGGGAGAACGAGUUCGUUAAGCUUAAGGACUUCAUAAUUCGUAUUUGCUACCAAGUGAUGCGCCGUUGGCUUGUGAAGGAUGAAAACCUAAGCACUAAUGUGUUAAAACUUCUAAUAGAAAUGGAUAAGGCGGGGCUUCGGCCUGUUAAGGCAGAAUAUGAGCGCCUUGUAUGGGCUUGUACCCGUGAAGAACAUUAUGUUGUUGCCAAAGAAUUCUAUGCUAGGAUUAGAGAAAGGCAUGAUGAGAUAAGUUUAUCUGUGUGCAACCAUUUGAUUUGGUUGAUGGGGAAGGCUAAGAAGUGGUGGGCGGCUUUGGAGGUCUAUGAGGAUUUGUUGGACAAGGGACCAAAGCCUAAUAACAUGUCAUAUGAAUUGAUUGUUUCUCACUUUAAUAUACUACUUAGUGCGGCUAGGAAAAGAGGUAUCUGGAGAUGGGGUGUUAGAUUGCUCAACAAGAUGGAAGAAAAAGGCCUUAAACCUGGAAGUAGGGAAUGGAAUGCAGUUCUUGUUGCCUGCUCCAAGGCUUCAGAGUACAAUGCUGCUGUCCAGAUAUUUAAGCGAAUGGUUGAAAAAGGUGAAAAACCCACAAUUAUCUCCUAUGGAGCGUUACUCAGUGCCCUUGAAAAGGGUAAGCUCUAUGAUGAAGCCUCUCGUGUGUGGCAACAUAUGCUGAAUGUCGGCGCGGAGCCAAACCUGUAUGCCUACACAAUUAUGGCUUCAAUUUUCACCGCACAAGGAAAGUUUAACUUGGUUGAGCUGAUCUUUCGGGAGAUGGCUUCAUCUCGUAUUGAGCCAACAGUUGUCACAUACAAUGCAAUCAUCAGUGCAUGUGGGCAGAAUGGAAUGAGCAGUGCAGCAUAUGAAUGGUUUCACCGAAUGAAAGUUCAAAACAUCUCUCCUAACGAGAUCACUUAUGAAAUGCUGAUUGAGGCUCUUGCAAAAGACGGUAAACCAAGACUUGCAUACGACUUGUAUUUGAGGGCUCGGAAUGAGGAACUUAACCUCUCUUCGAAGGCUUAUGAUGCGAUACUCGAAUUCUCCCAAGUCUAUGGAGCAACUAUUGAUUUAACUGUUUUAGGACCUCGGCCACCAGACAAAAAGAAGAAAGUUGUAAUUAGGAAGAAUUUGUCUAAUUUCUGUCACUUUGCUGACGUUCCAAGGAGAAGUAAACCCUUUGAUAAAAAGGAAAUUUACACCCCACAAACAGAAAGAAACCAAUUGUGAGAACUUUAAUCUUUACAUGUCCUUGUUUUAGCUUGUAAUGACAGGAAGUUGAAUUUCUGUCCUCAUUAUCCAAGCCUGUUUGUUUAUAUAUACAAAAUGAUUGUGGAUGUUGACUCAGAUACAUACCAAAUACUAUCAUUUUGAUGACUCUCUUAAGUUUUUGCUUGUGGAAGCUGAUAAAAUUCAACUCAGUUUGUUGGUGAUUUUAGAGUCGAAUUUCAACGUUGUGAUGAGCGUGAACCCAAGCAAAAGGUGACUGACAUUUAGAUAAUAGGUUCCAGUAAUACUGCUUGCCAUUGAAUCUCCUUUUUUAGUGAAAUCCAUUGUCGCCAAGACUGGCCCUAUUUUGUCAUUUAUGGCAAAAUGACAAAAUCUGGAAGGCUGAGGCUCCAUGCUAGGACUAUUGAAUGGUUAAAUGGCAACCCAUUUGUUAUUAUUGCAUGAUAUCAUCACAAAGCGCCACAUUGAGGAUCAAAUCCAGAUUUUUUUUCUUAUUUUUUUGUAGAACUUUUAACACGUUCGAUUCUCUCAUAGUGGAACUGUCAUGUGCUGGUUGGUGGGAAUUUGUCCGAUAAAAAAUUCAUCCUUUUUGCUGACUUUUUUUUUUUUAAGUCUGUUAUACACAGAUAUUACUGACAUUACAUCAGACAUUACAAUUAAUAUUUACAAUCAUACUAUAUAACUGGGACCACCAUCAUAUAUUGACACACUGAAGUAUAUGCCCAGAUAUUUUAAACCCUCUCUAAUAUUCGAGGGGUGACUGCUCCACUCACAUUUCGUAAGGGAGAGACUGUCUCCAGUCAAUUAAUUGAUAAUUGAAGAAGAACUGAAACUAACCUCCAUAAUGCUCUUAUGGAGGUUCGAACCCUUGCACUCAACAUUACAAGUGCAAGGCUUCUCCCAUUGGACCAAAGGCCCAUUGGUA